rnacentral:misc_RNA from 1 species
CAGUGCUGGCCCUGUAGCUGAAGAUAUGUUCCAUUGGCAAGCGACCAUUAUGGGACCAUCUGAUAGUCCUUAUUCAGGAGGUGUUUUUCUUGUCAAUAUUCAUUUUCCUCCAGAUUAUCCUUUCAAGCCCCCCAAGGUUGCUUUUAGGACCAAAGUGUUUCACCCAAAUAUCAAUAGCAAUGGAAGCAUUUGUCUUGACAUCCUUAAAGAACAGUGGAGCCCUGCGCUUACGAUUUCCAAGGUACUGCUUUCCAUAUGCUCAUUGCUGACUGAUCCAAACCCAGACGACCCUCUUGUACCAGAGAUCGCGCACAUGUACAAGACCGACCGAACCAAAUAUGAAGCGAGUGCACGGAGCUGGACUCAGAAGUAUGCGAUGGGUUGAGGCGUUUGUGUUUUUGUAGCUUGAUGUUGAUGAUGGAUGAUGCUAGUGGUGGUAUCUUUGGCAUGGCAUCCUUCUGUAUUACCUCGUUUCUUCCAGUUAUUUGGGCUGUGUAGGUAUUUUAAAGCAAGAAAGAAACAAAAUAUGAAGAAAAAAAAAAAAAAAGGAAGUCUUAUGAUGUUUUUUCCCCUUUGUCACUGAUUUAUGAAUGAAAGAUGCAAGCAGGUUGUCUAAGGUUGUCAAAUUAACUGGAUUCAACAUUUCUCUUUGUGGGGAUUUGAUGCAAGCAGUUAUUUAUCUCAUAGAGAAGCAU